AUGAUAAUUUUGUCUCUAGGGGGCAUUUAUAAGGAACUAUUUAUAGUGGUGGAAGUCUUUAUCUGGAUUAUGUUUUUAUUAAGCUUCUUCUAUUGGGUAGAGUUGGUGACAUUUACGUCAGUAUAUAUUUUCCAAUGUAGGAAAGCUUUUCCCUUUACAUCUGCAACAAGAUUUCACCUGUAUGGACCAUUACCUGGAAGCUACCUCCUCUUUGUCUGUUAGCUGGAGACUGGAGUUAGAAGAUGCUGACAAAAUAGUGUAUCAGACAGUGUGGGUUAGUAAAAUAUGGCUUUAGGAUGGAGAGACUCUUUCUCCUCUCCAUUGUCUGUUUCUUCUUCUCUUUUUGUCUUUUUUCAGUCCCGCCUCCUUCAUUGGCCCUCUGCUUUCUUUUUUCUACACUGACUUUUCCUUUAAAGAUGAUUACUUGGAUUCUGAGAGAUGAAAGAAGCCCUCCGAUUCUUCCCAGUGGGUUAAGCUUCUCACUGGAAGUUGAAUAACCAGGUAGUAUAUUUAAGCUGUAAAACUGCCUCUGGCUUCUCCUACCCCAUACUGAAUAAAC
rnacentral:lncRNA from 1 species